UACGUAGGUCCCGAGCGUUGUCCGGAUUUAUUGGGCGUAAAGCGAGCGCAGGUGGUUUAUUAAGUCUGGUGUAAAAGGCAGUGGCUCAACCAUUGUAUGCAUUGGAAACUGGUAGACUUGAGUGCAGGAGAGGAGAGUGGAGUUCCAUGUGUAGCGGUGAAAUGCGUAGAUAUAUGGAGGAACACCGGUGGCGAAAGCGGCUCUCCGGACUGUAACUGACGCUGAGGCUCGAAAGCGUGGGGAGCAAAUAGG
rnacentral:rRNA from 1 species